rnacentral:rRNA from 1 species
GACGAACGCUGGCGGCGUGCUUAACACAUGCAAGUCGAACGAAGAGCGAUGGAAGCUUGCUUCUAUCAAUCUUAGUGGCGAACGGGUGAGUAACGCGUAAUCAACCUGCCCUUCAGAGGGGGACAACAGUUGGAAACGACUGCUAAUACCGCAUACGAUCUAACCUCGGCAUCGAGGAUGGAUGAAAGGUGGCCUCUAUUUAUAAGCUAUCACUGAAGGAGGGGAUUGCGUCUGAUUAGCUAGUUGGAGGGGUAACGGCCCACCAAGGCGAUGAUCAGUAGCCGGUCUGAGAGGAUGAACGGCCACAUUGGGACUGAGACACGGCCCAGACUCCUACGGGAGGCAGCAGUGGGGAAUCUUCCGCAAUGGACGAAAGUCUGACGGAGCAACGCCGCGUGAGUGAUGACGGCCUUCGGGUUGGAAAGCUCUGUUAAUCGGGACGAAAGGCCUUCUUGCGAAUAGUUAGAAGGAUUGACGGUACCGGAAUAGAAAGCCACGGCUAACUACGUG